ACAGAGGGUGCGAGCGUUGUUCGGAAUUACUGGGCGUAAAGCGCGCGCAGGCGGCCUUUUAAGUCUACCCGUGAAAUGCCGGGGCUCAACUCCGUGCACGCCGGGGGAUACUGGGAGGCUGGAGACAUGUAGAGGCAAGCGGAAUUCCGGGUGUAGCGGUGGAAUGCGUAGAGAUCCGGAAGAACACCUGAGGCGAAGGCGGCUUGCUGGGCAUGAUCUGACGCUGAGGCGCGAAAGCUAGGGGAGCAAACGGGA
rnacentral:rRNA from 1 species